rnacentral:rRNA from 1 species
GAUGAACGCUAGCGGGAGGCCUAACACAUGCAAGCCGAGCGGUAUUGUUUCUUCGGAAAUGAGAGAGCGGCGUACGGGUGCGUAACACGUGUGCAACCUGCCUUUAUCUGGGGGAUAGCCUUUCGAAAGGAAGAUUAAUACUCCAUAAUAUAUUGGACGGCAUCGUUUAAUAUUGAAAGCUCCGGCGGAUAGAGAUGGGCACGCGCAAGAUUAGCUAGUUGGUGAGGUAACGGCUCACCAAGGCGAUGAUCUUUAGGGGGCCUGAGAGGGUGAUCCCCCACACUGGUACUGAGACACGGACCAGACUCCUACGGGAGGCAGCAGUGAGGAAUAUUGGUCAAUGGGUGCAAGCCUGAACCAGCCAUCCCGCGUGAAGGACGACUGCCCUAUGGGUUGUAAACUUCUUUUGUAUAGGGAUAAACCUACCCUCGAGAGGGUAGCUGAAGGUACUAUACGAAUAAGCACCGGCUAACUCCGUG